UAUGGCCAUAUCACUUUGAAACACCGGCUCGCUUACGAUCACCGAAGUUAAGCAACAUCGAGCCUGAUCAAUAACUAGAUGAUUGACCGCUUGGGAAUACCAGUUGCUGUCAG